rnacentral:rRNA from 1 species
UACGAAGGGGGCUAGCGUUGUUCGGAAUUACUGGGCGUAAAGCGCACGUAGGCGGAUUUUUAAGUCAGGGGCGAAAUCCCGAGGCUCAACCUCGGAACUGCCUUGAUACAGCACGUCUUGAGUCCGAUAGAGGUGGGUGGAAUUCCUAGUGUAGAGGUGAAAAUUCGUAGAUAUUAGGAAGAACACCGGUGGCGAAGGCGGCC